rnacentral:rRNA from 1 species
AACAUCACUAGGAGAAGUUUACUCUUAGCAGUGCCUGCCCAGUGCAAAAUUGUAAACGGCCGCCCUAGCGUGAGGGUGCCAAGGUAGCGAAAUUCCUUGCCUUUUAAUUGUAGGCCUGCAUGAAUGGAUUGACGAGGGUCAAGCUGUCUCUUGCCUUGAUGACGAAAUUGGACUAAAGGUGAAGAUACCUUUAUAGAAAAGUUAGACAAGAAGACCCCGUGCAGCUUUAAAAAAGUUACUUAUUAAGAGUUGUAAGAUUUUUAGGUGGGGCGCCUAGGAAGUAAAACUUAACCUUCUUAUUUGUUAAGAAAGGCUCUCAGGCAUAGACCCGGCAAGUCCGAUCAUGGGAGAAGUUACGCCGGGGAUAACAGGCUUAUCCAUUAGUAGAGCUCGUAUUGGCUAAUGGGAUUGGCACCUCGAUGUUGAAUUAAGGAUGAUAGCUCUAAGGCGUAGAAGCUUUAGAAGUGGGUCUGUUCGACCUUUAAUACCUUACGUGAUC